rnacentral:rRNA from 1 species
UACGAGGGGGGCGAGCGUUGUUCGGAAUUAUUGGGCGUAAAGGGUGCGUAGGCGGUUUGGUAAGUCUUGUGUGAAAUCUUCGGGCUCAACUCGAAGUCUGCAGUGGGUACGGGCAGACUAGAGUGCGGUAGGGGAGACUGGAAUUCCUGGUGUAGCGGUGAAAUGCGCAGAUAUCAGGAGGAACACCGGUGGCGAAGGCGGGUCUCUGGGCCGUAACUGACGCUGAGGAGCGAAAGCGUGGGGAGCGAACAGG